rnacentral:lncRNA from 10 species
CUCAAACAGUCAUGUGGACCUAGCCUGAGGUAGUAGCCAUAGAUGUCAGUGGCAAGACAGAAGAUUCAGUCUCUAAACAAAACCAUAUUCCAUGUCUUCAUCUAUAAAAGUGGAAGAAUAAUGGCAAAUGCUAUGUGAAGAUGAAUAACAUCAGGUGUUUGGGUUGUUUCCAGGUCUGGCUGUUAUGAUUAAUGCUCCAUGGACAUUUUUGAACAUGUCGUUGCAACUCUCAGAAAGAAGAGUCUAUGUCCCUGUACACAGAAUCUGGCUUGACUUUGCGACUUGCUUUCACCAAUCAAAUGCAGAAGAAGUGAAGUCUGGUCCUCAGGAGGUUUUGUACUCCUCUGCUGACUCUCCUGGGAUGCUAAAAACGCCAUGAGUCCUAGUUACGACUAACUUACAUGGCCUAGUCACCUCCAUUGUCCAAGCCAAUAGGUACCCAGCCAUCACACCUAGAGUGAGGCCAUUCCAAUCUCCAGCUGAUCUGCUGUGGAUGAGCAUGGCCAAGAUCAACUGAGCUUGGCUCAGAUGAGCAAGACUCCCUGGAUAACCUACAAUCUUGUGGAGAAAUGGAGGCACUCAUGGAUCAAGCAUUUUCCCAGGGCCACAUAGUUAAUGUAGCACUUAGAAGACUGGGUAUCUUUUUCAAUGCCACAUAGUAGCACAGCUAGGAGUUGAACCAGGCAGUCUGGUGCUACAGGCCAUACAUUUUGACAUGUGUUUUGUUGCCUCUUGACAAAGUCCAUGGACUGUGAUCCUGGGACCAACAGCAUCAGUAUCAACUGGGAACUUCUUAGAAAUUCAAAUUCUUGGGGCUAUUCCCCAAAUUUCUGAGUCAGAAGCUCUGGGGAUAGGGCCCAGCAAGCUAUGUGUUAACAGACUUUUUAGAUCAGGGGUUCCCCCCAACUCCCAGGCCAAGAACCAGUACCAGUCUGUGGCCUGUUAGGAACCAGGCUGCACAGCAGGAGGUGAGGGCAGAAUGUGGGAGAAGUGAUGAUGUGCCUAUUCUAAGUCUAGGCCUCAAGAAGUCUUGAAAGAUUCUGUUCCCUCUUGGUUAGUCCACUGGAGGAUGAGAGACCCACGGCCCAAUAACCUCCAUUGCCUCGGCCAACAGACAGUCAACUUCCAGUCUCACCAUUGCCUAGACUACCACAGGGACCACAGACACAUAACGGUGCCCAGCCAAGACAAGAAGAAACAUCCAGCUGAGUCCAGCCUAAAUUGCUGAUCUGCAGAAUUGUAAUUGUACUAAACUCUUCCACCAUAAUUGUGAUCUCAUCUUGGGAUUUGCCAAAAAACAUUUAUAGCAUGUCUGAGAAGUCCAGAGGAAGUAUAUAUCUCCUCUUUGCUCCAACCUUCUUGUAGCAGGGUUUGAGGGAGAAGGCUGCAAGGAGUCCUGUGGGAGGCCCUGGGGUCUUAUUAGUUGAAGGAAACAAAUCAUCAUACCUUUAAUACUGGCUCCAAUUUGCCCCUUUCAUGAGUAGUCUUGGAGAGAUAAUUGCUAAUCUGGAAUGGACAUACUUCUUGAUCUUGGUUGGCAUUUUUCAAACUGUGAUGAAGACACUUUUUAUAGCCCUGUUCAGAAUACAGAAGGAGACCUACUCUUCUUUGAUCACAAUCUAAAGACAGACAGAGGACAUGUGGAAAGAUCUGUCAUGGAUUAAAUAUAAACAAAAAUGAAGCAAGAAACAAAACUAGUCUUUCAAUGAAAAGCUGAAGAUGCUGAAGAAGAAAUGCAAAAUCAUUUCACAAGAAAAACAAAAUCAGACCAGGAUCACUUGGCGUACCAUCCUAGCAAAAUAUAUCUUCUUGGAGUUGCCCUGACAAUGCUCCUCAAAAACUACUUUCUUCAUCUUCUUGCGGGUUAAAUACUGGGAUUAAAUCCUAGCAUAAAAAUUACAUCUAAAA